AAGUCGUAACAAGGUUUCCGUAGGUGAACCUGCGGAAGGAUCAUUAAAAAAUAAUGGCUAGCAUACUUUUAAGCGUGCGAAUCGUUGAAACCAUUUCUGUGUACAUUUUUUUCCGCGUUGCUUUCGCAGAUGAAUUUCAUCUGCGAAAGGUUAUGGAUUGUAAAAUUCUCGUUGUGUUUACGUGUAUUAAAACUAUCUACCAUCCGAAACAUACAAACAAAACAUUUAAAAACUUUCAACAACGGAUCUCUUGGUUCUC
rnacentral:misc_RNA from 1 species